GUUUUUAACAAGAAGACCCAAGAAUCAGUAUACGUAUCUGGAAGGUUUUUUUCGUCCCCUUGUCAAUGAGAUUGUUAAAGUAAGUCAGAGACAUAGAUUGAAGAAUGAAGGAGAAGAAUGAUGACCCGAACAAGAUCAACAUUAAUCAAUGAUCGGUGGAGAUGGUUUGACGAAUUAAUGAUAGUUAUUUUCUGGGUUUUUUCAUUUAGGUUGUUGUUUGAUUCAAACUUGAAAGCUAACGAUGGUUUUCAUCUAAUUAUAUAUGUGCAGAUCAGAGAUCGUAUGAAGGAUGAAGAAGACUCUGACGGCUCGCUUAAGGUUUUAUUUCAAUCAUCAACACAAUCCAUACAAAGACAUCUUCAGUGAUCCUAAUGGAAGUUAUAAGAAGACACUCUGAAUUCUGAGUUACUGUACUUGGGCUCCCAUCAGCUCCUUCAUAGCAAGAUUUGAAGGUCUGAUUGACAAAUACUGUUUUGCUGCAACUUUUUGAUUUCUGCUCCCUAGUCUUGUUUUUGUCUUUGGUGAUCCUAAUGGAUCAAAUGCGGAAAGCUGGUGAUGUGGGCUUUGCUGAGGUCACUAGAGACUGUGAUUGAACUUAUGGUGUCGUCGGGCUACACCAAUUAUGAUGACAUGAAGUAUGCGAUAAGGAAACUUAAAUGACACAGAAUUCAGAAACCCCUGGCUUAGAGCUUUAAUCCGGGUUUGGUAGAUGCUUCAUUCAUACCACAUAUGUGACUUUCGUACUAGCAAUUUUUUAGGCUAAGUAAUAUGAAAGUUCUCUGUCAAGAAGCCCAAGCAGAAGCAGAAGUCGUAGUCGAAGCGGCGGUCGCAGCCUUAGCCUUAGCAGGAGCAAGAGCCCAAGGAAGGAUCUGAGGUGAGGAGGUUAUCUUCUUGUGAGACAAUGAGAUCUGCCACCACUAUUUGCAGCGAUCAAACUGGAACACUAACUUUGAAUCAGAUGGCAGUGGGGGAAAGAAAUCAGACACUGCACAAUUGCCUGCAACUAUCACUUCGUUAGUUGUUGAAGGGAUAUCCCAAAAUACAACUGGUAGUAUUUUUGUCCCAGAGGGAAGUGGUGAAUUAGAGUUGUCUUGUUCACCAAGAGAAAAGGCCAUUCUUGGCUGAAGAAUCAAGGUUUAAUAGUUUUACACAUAUGAGUGGAAGAGUGAUUCAUAUGUUUUCUCUCCUUCAGCUGUGAAUGAAUUUCGAGACAACCACGUCGCAGUCUUCUAUCCUUCACGCUUUUCUGUUGAACUCAGAGGAAAAAACGUGGUGGUGUUGCUGUAUAAACGGUCCGUAUGGUGAUUGGUGACAAUAUCCAAACUGUCAGGGCUUGCUUUGGAGUGUGGAAUGUUAACUUCAGAUGCAGAGAUGCUUUGACUUGCUCUUUAAGAUUUAGAUUAAAUACGUCGUCGUUGUAUGAAUUGGGCUUUCUUAUCUACUAUAUAUAAUAAUAAGUGGAACCAAUUGUUGUUA